rnacentral:rRNA from 1 species
CCUACGGGGCGCUGCAGUGGGGAAUAUUGGACAAUGGGCGAAAGCCUGAUCCAGCCAUGCCGCGUGUGUGAAGAAGGCCUUCGGGUUGUAAAGCACUUUCAGUGGGGAAGAAAGCCUUGGGGCUAAUACCCUCGAGGAAGGACAUCACCCACAGAAGAAGCACCGGCUAACUCCGUGCCAGCAGCCGCGGUAAUACGGAGGGUGCGGGCGUUAAUCGGAAUUACUGGGCGUAAAGCGCGCGUAGGCGGUCUGAUAAGCCGGUUGUGAAAGCCCCGGGCUCAACCUGGGAACGGCAUCCGGAACUGUCAGGCUAGAGUGCAGGAGAGGAAGGUAGAAUUCCCGGUGUAGCGGUGAAAUGCGUAGAGAUCGGGAGGAAUACCAGUGGCGAAGGCGGCCUUCUGGACUGACACUGACGCUGAGGUGCGAAAGCGUGGGUAGCAAACAGGAUUAGAUACCCCUGUAGUC